AGCCUUAUAUUCAUUUAUGAUAUAAAAUUGCAAAUUUUAAGGUGUAAAUUAAAAUUACUAAGGCUU
rnacentral:tRNA from 1 species